CGAACGAACCCUUCGGGGUUAGUGGCGCACGGGUGCGUAACGCGUGGGAACCUACCUUUAGGUUCGGAAUAACUCAGAGAAAUUUGAGCUAAUACCGAAUAAUGUCUUCGGACCAAAGAUUUAUCGCCUUUAGAUGGGCCCGCGUUAGAUUAGUUAGUUGGUGGGGUAAUGGCCUACCAAGACGACGAUCUGUAGCUGGUCUGAGAGGAUGAUCAGCCACACUGGGACUGAGACACGGCCCAG
rnacentral:rRNA from 1 species